GACGCAUCCACUUCACGACGGAUCGUCCGGCACGUACCUGCCGGUGAAGGGAAGUACCU
rfam:Actinotalea ferrariae CF5-4 contig69, whole genome shotgun sequence.